UCAUGGAUCUUCCCCGCCUUAUUCCUCUUCGUGCUUCUGCUUUUCUACGAAACCUUCUCUGCCGAAAGCUCCACGGAUCUCCGCCUUGUCGUCCUCGUCGAUGAUUUCGCCGUUAGAUCCUCUCAUUCCCUCUUCUUCAACUCUCUCUACUCCCGUGGGCUCGACUUUCUCCCCGCCGAUGACUAAGUUUUCCCUCCUGAGAUAUGGAUAUUUCAUCUACGAUGGUGCCGUAAUCUUCUCUCCCUCUGUUCAGCGUAAAUUCCGAGUUUCGGGGGUUCUUUGGACCAGGCCGCAUUGCUAGACUUUGUGGAUGCAGGGCACGGUCUGAUACUUUCUGCGGACUCUUUCGCGUCAGAUUUGAUCGAGGGUCGCAGAGGAAUCUGGCGUUGAUUUUGGUGACGCGAGAUCCGAAGGCCGCUGCUAUCGAUCGUACUGGAUAUGCUGUUUCCGAGAUAGAUGGCUGAUGAUUUCUUGCAAUCUGAUGUUAUUUUGGGGGAGAAGAAGAUAGAGGUUGAGUGUAUUUGCCUUUCC